rnacentral:rRNA from 1 species
GACGAACGCUGGCGGCGUGCCUAAUACAUGCAAGUAGAACGCUGAAGGAGGAGCUUGCUUCUCUGGAUGAGUUGCGAACAGGUGAGUAACGCGUAGGUAACCUGCCUGGUAGCGGGGGAUAACUAUUGGAAACGAUAGCUAAUACCGCAUAAGAGUAGAUGUUGCAUGACAUUUGCUUAAAAGGUGCAAUUGCAUCACUACCAGAUGGACCUGCGUUGUAUUAGCUAGUUGGUGGGGUAACGGCUCACCAAGGCGACGAUACAUAGCCGACCUGAGAGGGUGAUCGGCCACACUGGGACUGAGACACGGCCCAGACUCCUACGGGAGGCAGCAGUAGGGAAUCUUCGGCAAUGGACGGAAGUCUGACCGAGCAACGCCGCGUGAGUGAAGAAGGGUGUCGGAUCGUAAAGCUCUGUUGUAAGAGAAGAACGAGUGUGAGAGUGGAAAGUUCACACUGUGACGGUAUCUUACCAGAAAGGGACGGCUAACUACGUG